rnacentral:rRNA from 1 species
AUACCAUGGUGGUAUGCCUUAUACAUGCAAGUUGUACGAGAGUUUUUAACUCAGUGGCGGACGGGUGAGGAACACGUAAGAAUUUGCCUUUAGGAGGGGGACAACAAUUGGAAACGAUUGCUAAUACCCCAUACGCUUUCAAGUGAAAUGGAUUUUCCGCCUAGAGAGAAGCUUGCGGCUGAUUAGCUUGUUGGUAAGGUAAUGGCUUACCAAGGCGACGAUCAGUAUCUGGUUUGAGAGGACGAUCAGACACACUGGAACUGAGACACGGUCCAGACUCCUACGGGAGGCAGCAGUAGGGAAUUUUCCGCAAUGGGCGAAAGCCUGACGGAGCAAUACCGCGUGAGGGAUGACUGCCUAUGGGUUGUAAACCUCUUUUUUCAGGGAGGAACAUAAUGACGUGUACCUGAAGAAUAAGCAUCGGCUAACUCCGUGCCAGCAGCCGCGGUAAGACGGAGGAUGCAAGUGUUAUCCGGAAUCACUGGGCGUAAAGCGUCUGUAGGUGGUCAAAUAAGUCAACUGUUAAAUCUUGAGGCUCAACCUCGAAAUCGCAGUCGAAACUAUUAGACUAGAGUAUAGUAGGGGUAAAGGGAAUUUCCAGUGGAGCGGUGAAAUGCGUAGAGAUUGGAAAGAACACCGAUGGCGAAGGCACUUUACUGGGCUAUUACUAACACUCAGAGACGAAAGCUAGGGUAGCAAAUGGGAUUAGAUACCCCAGUAGUCCUAGCUGUAAACAAUGGAUACUAGAUGUUGAACAGAUCGACCUGUGCAGUAUCAAAGCUAACGCGUUAAGUAUCCCGCCUGGGAAGUAUGCUCGCAAGAGUGAAACUCAAAUGAAUUGACGG